AAGAGUAUUUCACCAAAGUAAUUAUAAACUUCGCUUGAAUUAGGGAACCUCUUUUUACAAUCUUCAAAUGUCUUCAUUGAUUCCGCAAUUGCAUGAGUCUUAUAUUGAGCUACUCCAAGUUGGAUAUGGCUAUAAAUAAAAGAGUCAUCCAAUGCAAUAGACUUUUGAUAAUCAGAAAUGGCUUCUGCAAACUCACCAGAAACAAACCUAACUUGUGCACGAUGAUAAUAAAGAUCCGAAUCGGUUUUAUCAACAGAUUCUGCAUCAUUCAGUACCUUCCACAUUUUUUCAUUAUCAUUUUCAUCUAAAUAAGCGGCUGAGAGACGAAUAUAUGGUUGAAUGAACUUGCGAUCUAAUUUAAUAGCUGCAUUAAAAUUUUCCAUCGAACCUUUAGAGUCACCAGAUACAAAUUUAAAAGUACCAACUAGAUUAUGAGUGCGAGCAUUAACCGAAGGAGAUGAGAAAGAUCCCAGACAGGAUUCCUUUGCUUUAUCGUACGAAAGUUGAUAUUCACCCUUUUCUAAAUAUUCAUAAGCCUCUGCUAAAGCAGCAUCACCGUCAAAUUUAUUAUCAAACAAAGGUUUUGGUUGAGCAUGGAAUGAAUCGAGAUAAGUCUGGAUAAAGCUGGCAGCUGGCAAUUUAGGAGGACGUUCCUUUAAAAGAGCAGACGACUUCUUUUCAGCAACCUUUUUUAACAAUCGUUCAACGGUAGCAGUCAUACUCUCAUUAGCGAAGCCAUCGAAAAUGCAGGAAACGGUACUAUCCAUAAGGGCUUCAUCCAAUUUACCAAGUUGCUCAUAAGCAGCAGAACGACGAUUUAACGCUUUCACAUAGCUUGAAUCAAGUGAAAGAGCUUCACUUGUAUCCUUAAUUACUUGCUCAAAAUCACCGAUGGCUGCAUAACAGGCUGCACGAUUAGAGAAGAAAAUAGGGUCAUGAGAGCAGGUGAUAGCCUGAGUAUAAUAGUCAAUAGCAUUAGCAUAUUCCUUUUGUCCAUAAGCCUUAUUACCAAGAGUCUUUAACUCGGCAGCCAAUUU